UACGGGGGGAGCAAGCGUUGUUCGGAUUUACUGGGCGUAAAGGGCGCGUAGGCGGUCAGCACAAGUCAGUUGUGAAAUCUCCGGGCUUAACUCGGAAAGGUCAACUGAUACUGUGCGACUAGAGUGCGGAAGGGGCAACUGGAAUUCUCGGUGUAGCGGUGAAAUGCGUAGAUAUCGAGAGGAACACCUGCGGCGAAGGCGGCAUCCUGGACCGGCAUUGACGCUGAGGAGCGAAAGCCAGGGGAGCAAACGGG
rnacentral:rRNA from 1 species